rnacentral:rRNA from 1 species
GACGAACCGUCCAAACGUUAUUCGGAAUCACUGGGCUUACAGAGUUCGUAGGCGGUCUGGAAAGUUGGGUGUGAAAUCCCUCGGCCUAACCGAGGAACUGCGCUUGAAACUACCAGACUCGAGGGGGAUAGAGGAAAGCGGAACUGAUGGUGGAGCGGUGAAAUGCGUUGAUAUCAUCAGGAACACCGGUGGCGAAGGCGGCUUCUGGGUCUUACCUGACGCUGAGGAACGAAAGCGUGGGGAGCAAACAGG